CUUCAACACCUUGUACGACCCAUACCGUGAAGGUGCUGACUUCGUCCGUGGAUACCCUUUCAGUCUCCGUGAGGGUGUUUCCACUGCUGUGUCUCACGGUCUCUGGCUCAACAUCCCUGAUUACGAUGCUCCAACCCAACUCGUUAAGCCUAAGGAAAGGAACACAAGGUAGUUAUUUAACAUCUUUUCUUUUCUACAUUUUUUUUUAUAUAUUUUAAUUAGUUAACAAUAUGCUUAAAUGGGAUUAUUGUGAAGGUAUGUGGAUGCUGUCAUGACCAUCCCAAAGGGAACACUUUUCCCAAUGUGUGGAAUGAACUUGGCCUUUGACCGUGAGCUCAUUGGUCCGGCUAUGUACUUUGGUCUCAUGGGUGAUGGUCAGCCUAUUGGUCGUUACGACGAUAUGUGGGCUGGAUGGUGUGUCAAGGUACUUUACUUUCCCAUUCUCCUAAAUAGUUUUGGACUAUGUAUGAAUACUUACUUGUCUCUUAUGGGGCUUUCUGUAGGUGAUCUGUGACCAUUUGGGAUUGGGAGUGAAGACGGGUCUGCCAUACAUCUACCACAGCAAGGCGAGCAACCCAUUUGUGAACCUGAAGAAGGAGUACAAGGGAAUUUUCUGGCAGGAGGAUAUCAUUCCUUUCUUCCAGAGUGCAAAGCUCUCCAAAGAAGCUGUGACGGUUCAACAAUGCUACAUUGAGCUGUCCAAGAUGGUGAAGGAGAAGCUUAGCGCUAUUGAUCCUUACUUUGACAAGCUUGCUGAUGCUAUGGUCACCUGGAUUGAAGCUUGGGAUGAGCUUAACCCGGCCACUAAAGCUUGAGCAGUUUAAACACCACCACUGCAGUUUUGGUUAUUAGCUUAACCUAUCAUCUAUCUUCCUUCCUUCCUUCCCCGUUUUGUUCUUUUUUUUCUCGUUUCCUGGCGAUUAUUCAGUUGGUUUUUAAGUCGCCGGAGUUUAUUUAAAUAGUGAUGGUGUAGUUCUAUUUAAGAUGGAGACAGUCCAUACUCUGAGCUUUUUGUGUUUUGUUUCAAUAAUAAAAUCAUCUUUGAUGCUAUAUAGUCUUUGUUAUCUUUGCUUCCUGGUUUGUUGACAUGUUAGUUUGGUAGCCAAACAAAGCCUUAAAUGAUGUUUGACUGAGUUGAGCCCACUUGUAAAAGAGAUGAUGAACAAGGUAACCAUUUCGUGUCAGCAAAUGAUUUUUUUUUGGGCCUACGUCGCUUGAGUUGUUCAAAAUGUGAAAUUCUUCUAGUGGGGUUGGGCUUCUAGUUGUCCAUGUGAUUAGUGAAAUUGAAAGAUCUAGUCUUGGAAUUACUGGUCUGUUAAUAAAAAAGAUUACUGGUCUACUCUUCAGUCAUGCUGCCAACUUUUAUUAUAGCCAAGAUUUAAUGAUUUUGUCCAAUGAAUAAAAGCUCAAGACCACUAGAACAUUUUUUACUUUAUUACCAUUUUCUUCUUUUCAUGUUACUCAUCAGUCUGAAAUGGUUUAUUAGAUAUUAACACCCUAUGAAUAUAUGCAGAUCAUAAUCGUACUAACACCCUAUGUAAGUUAAUGUAAGUUCUUUAAAUGCUUACUAGAUAUUAACCCGCACAUCCGUGCGGAUAUAUUUAUAUUUUUAAAUUAACUUUUAAAAUAUUAGUAUGUUAUAAGGAAAUAUAUUUAAUAUCAAUUUUAGUUUUAUAAUUUUUAUUUUAAAAUUUUUUAUAUGUUGAAAUUUGUUUGAUGAUAUUGUACCAAUCAUUUAUUUUGUUUUAUCUAAAAAUUUAAUUUGAUAAUUUAAAAAGAAUUAGGCUAUACUAUUUAAUUUCAAAUUAGUUACUGAAAUAUAUAAAAUAUAAUCUAUAUUAAAUAUGAUAAACAGUCAAAUGAUAAUUACCUAAUGACAAUAUAUUUAUCUUUUCUUAGAAAUGUUAUUGUUUAGAUGUAUAUUUUUUUGUUAAGAAAAUAUUAUAUAUAAGUAAUUUUAGGAUGUUUAAUUAAAUUUCUAAUGAAUGGUUUAACAUAGACUUGUGUAUGGUAGAUAAAAAAUAAGACUCUAUUUUAAUAGAGUAGAUAUCGUGUUUAUGUAAGUUUGUUUCUUGGUGUAAAAUGUUUAUGUAAGUUCUUUAAAUGUUUGUCAGGUUUCAGGUUUGUUUAUUCGUAUUGCUUCAGUUGAAUAUGCAAGAAGAAAAGGUUGUAAGUACUGAGUUGGCAUGCAGUGUUUUAUGUUAUUUUGGAGGGCCGUUUCAAAUUAAUUUUAAGCCAUGUUCAAAAAAAAAUAUUAAUCGUACAUUUUAUUAUGUAAUUUUAAAAUUUAAUAACUUUGUCUGAUUUUUUAAAUUAAAAGUUCUAAAUUUAGCAUAAUAUUUAAAAAUUUUAAGUUUCUUACCAUAAUUUAUUUAUAUAUUUUGAAAAAUCCUUAAAUUUCUUUUUUAUAUAUUUCGGGACCAUGUUCGACCGCUCCACUUACGCGUGCUGUGUGUUGUUAGAAUAUCUUGAAUAGUGAUGACAUGAACGCGUAAGAGAUACUAAAGCUAGUUUAACUACUGCUUUCUGGAAAUUAAACCUUAGAGCCAAAAAAAUCUUAUUUUCAAGUGGCAUCCACACCCACAACAAAGCCACAAGGAUUGAAUCGGAGGACCCGCCCUCGUGUCUCAAAAAGAAUAUAUCAAAUUCGACGUAAGUAUGUUAACAUUAUAGUAUACUUUUUCGUACAAGUUUAGUUAAAUCUAGUACAAACUAAGCAUUAUCAGCAAACCCACGGUUAAAAAGAUUUUUGGAACUACAAAAGGAGAUACUUUAUUUAGAAACCCUAAGCACUAAACACAGAUUUAUUAUUAACUUAAACUCUAGUGUCACUUUUGGGCACUUAAACUCAUGAAAACUUCCCCAUGCCAUAUGCCUUCUUGAUUUCUUCAAGAUAAAUCUUUGUCUUUUUAGUUUACACUCCAUGUGGGUACCGACUUUCUUGAUUUACUAUUUUAAGUUCUUUUGGUUUCGAUUCUCCCAUUAGAAAUAGGGAUGCUCUCUAUAAAAUUACAAUAUUUCAUUCUUAUACAAAAUGCUCUUUUUCAUAAUAAAAGAAGUUAAUUUGAUCGUUUUGCCAUAGAGAAUUGUUUGAUCGGUUUGUUAUGUACUAUAACUUAUAUAUAUAUAUCCUAUCUGAAUAAAAGUAUCAUGAUCUAAAAUCUAAAUGGUUUUAUCCAGAUUGCUUAUUUGUAAGAGAUGGCAAAACCAAUUGUUGACUAUCUUUAUUUUUCUGCUUUACUUUUUUCUUAGUUUGUUUGACCAAUUUAUGAAUGUUAUUGCUGCCAUAAAUGAUUUUAUUUAAAGGCAAUUCUCCUAAAUAGACAAUUUUUAAGUUUUGGUCACAAAAAUAGACAAUAAAAAGAAAAAUGACUAAAAUAUUUCAUUUAAUAGGUAAAAUGACAUUAAUAUCCUAUAUCAAAAAAAUUUAAAAAUAUAAUUUUUUUAAUAGUUUUAGAUUAUAUGUUUUCAAAUUCGAUUUUUUCUAUAAAAUUUUUUUUUUCGAAUUUUUUUUUUGUCAAAUUUUCUUUUUGUAAUUUGAAAAUACUUUUUGAAACUAUUUUUAAAAUUUUUAUUUUUAAAUUUUUAAUAUUUAUUUUUUAUUUUAUAAAAUUUUAAACUUCAAUCCUAAAUUCCCACCUCUUAACUCUAAACUUUAAAGUUUAGAUUAGUUAAACCUAGGGAUAUAAAUGUAUAUUUACAUCUUUAAUGAAAUAUUUUGGUCAUUUUAUUCCUUCUGAUCUAUUUUUGUGACCAAAACUUUUUUAGUAUUAUCUUAUCCUAGAGUAUUUCUCUUUAUUUAAUUUUAUAUUAUUUCACGCUGGCAUAAACAAUUACCGAUGAUAAGUUGCUUUUUGUCUUGCCUAUGGAAUUGUCGGAAAAACCUAGCUUCCACCUUUUUCUGAUUUCAGAAAAUCCUACACAUAAGUAUGUAUACAUAACCCUUAUAUAUAUAAAUGAGCUUCACUCACAACAACUAAAAUACUUAACGCUUCGUUAAUUUUGACAAAGGCAAACGAGAUGAAGAACACAAACGCAAAGUUAAUCACACUUGUUCUAGGGUUUCUCGUCCUCAUGAUGAUGAUGAUGAAUUUUCCUCAUGCGCUUCAAGGUUUGUAUGACAAAGCACCUUAGUUUUCUCCUCUUAUUAUAUCUUCUUUCCUCAUGUGUAUUAUGUGUGUAUGUGUGUCGUCUCUACAUAUAUCUUUAGGUCCCUUCCAUCCUCCUUAUGACGAUAAUGAUCUAUAUAUCUAUCGGUGUAUGUGUGUGUACUGUUGUUGCCUUUGGUGUUGUCUACAUCCAUGUGUUUGUCAUGUCGACAAACAUAAACGUAUGAAGGUGUAAACAUGUGAAGCUGAUGUUUUCUUUGAGAACUUACAGGAGGAAACAUAGAUGUAGCUGGAUCCAAAUACGAAGACUAUGGUCUUAUCCGAAGCGGAAGUGAGCCUCUCUUGAUGGGACGAAAGGUACACAAGUUAAAAUUUGAAUCUAAGCCUUGAUUUAAUGUUAACUAAUAUAUAUCUUCUCUUAUAUAUUCGCAUUUUUUCUUAUAUACAUAUAUAUAAUCGUUUUUGUUGUAUACAUGUUUUGUGGCAGUUAAAAGGUCUAAAGCCUAUGGAGUCUGGAACAAAGAAAAGAUCAACAAAAGCCUCGAGAGAUUCAACAAAAGAAAUUGAUAAUCUAAUGAGAAGCGACUAUCCGUCACGUAUGAAAGGAAGGAAGAGGACUCCAAUACAUAAUUGAUAGCAUAUGGUCGUUAAAUAGUUUAAGAAACGUGAUUCACAAAAAAAAAAAAAAAAAGAAACGUAGAAGUUCACUAUAUUAGAAGAAAUGUUAAUCAGGGCUAUAUAUAAAACAUAUGUUUAGAUUUUUUCUUAUUUUUUGUUUUUGUUUUUUAUUCUUCAAACAAUGUUUUCUUAAUUUAGACUCAUAUAUUAGAAACUGUAACGUUCAUUUAAUUUUGUACAAUGCAUAAUGACCUCUACGAUUCAUCUCUUUACCAAGUGGAUCAAGCUCUUGUUUGCUUAUGAUAACGAAAAUCAACGAAACCUCAGAGAAUAUUUUGUACGUCAAAUCCUUUGGAUUCCCUCAAAACACUGAGUCGAUAUCAAUAGCUAUUUUUUAAGGCAAGAAGACUGGUUUUAGACGUGUGUAUCUUAAGCUUGUUCUUGAAUCAUGACUUGUGUCUAUAGGCAGUCCAAUAUCAGUCUUCCAACGGCUAUGUCGAUUUCUGAAUAGAAAGUGAUUGAUGAGACAUGAAGAAGAUACACGACAAAAGCCUCCAUCGGGGACCAAAUGAUAAGCAUAUUCGAAUUCUAUAACAAGGAGUUUUAUUUUAUAUUAUAUUUGGUGGCAAUCUAUUUAUACAAGCCACAUUUAAAGACUCAAUGGUUGCAAAUAAAGUUAUAAAAAUUGUUAACUCCAUUAUUCACCUAUCUAUGUCUCAUUGUCUUGCAUCACCCUGCCAAGCCUAAUUUCCAUCCACAAAGACGACAUGAUGGAUCAGGCGGUAUUUUCUAGUGAAUGUCCAUUAUUGUCAUGUAACAACUGAAAUAAAAUACAUAGAAAACAAAUUAUAAAAUAUCAGAACUCCUAGAAAACCUAAAAUAAAAUAUUAAAAAUAUGAAAACAUAUUUGUAAUACAAACAAUUAAGUAAUAAAUUAAACAUGACUUCUAAAUUGAUUUAAAAACCAUAAUAUUUAGAAAAUAAUUUUUUUUUUAAAUUGGCCCUUAAACUCAAUUCAUUAAUAGAAUUUAUACAACUAGAUUGUUAAAAUUAAUGUGAGUAUAUCACAUAAAAGAUACUUUUAAAUAAGGAAAAAUUUCAUAACAAUACAUCAACUAGAUUUUGUUAAGCGUUCAAUACUAUUUUCUUUUUUUGCUAUUUCAUUUAAUAUUUUAAUUAAUUAUUUUAUUCAUUUUACUACACUAAAUUUUAAGAUUAUGUUCAAAAAUAUCUAAUUUAUUUUUAUGUUUUAGGAAUAAAAGAAACUAAACUGUGGAUAACCUUAAACUUUUUAAUUUUAGUUUUAUUUAUAAUAUCAAAUUUAGUUUGUUUUCUUAAACUUAAAUCUAAUUCAUACUUUUUACUUUUAAUGAAUAGAACAAACACAACAACAAUAAAUUAAAAUAACAUGAUUUUCAUACACUAUUAUCAAAACCCAAAACUACUUACAAUAUUUAUUAGGUCUGAAAAUAAUAAUUUAAAAUUAUUAGAUUAUAUUUCUAUAUUUUAAUUGUGUGUUUUUAGUUUAAUUAUGAGGAAGUUUUGAUUUAGUGGUCAAAUGAUGAUUUAUUUAUGUUCUAUAAGUUGUAUUUUCUUAAACACAAUUUAAAAUCAACUCGAUUGAAUUGAACUCAAACCAAACCGAAUACAAACCACAUCAAACUAUUCUAGCUGACUUCAACUAAAUAUUCAUAAAACCAAAAAACCAAACUGAACUAUAUAUCUCAUAUUUGAUGUGCCAAUCUAAUUUUAUUCUUACGGUUCAAUGUAAAUUAAUUCAAAUAUAAAGAAAAUGAAAUAUAAAAUUUAUUUAUUUUCUAAAAUAAUUAUAAAUAAUAAUUAUAAUAAUGUGUAACAUAAUUAUACACUGCCUUUUUAAAAUUUUAUUCUCCAGCUACCAGAACUGCAAGACCAUGGAUGAUGAUGAUGCCAAAGGAUAGAUUUGCAAACAUUACAAUGAACGCUCCAACCUAUCUUCUCAUCCAAGGAAGCUCUUCAGAAAUCCCUGUACACCAAAGAACCCUAACUGAGAUUGAUAUACAGUCCCCGUAGAUAACUCCAUUAUUCACUCAUCCAUGUGCUGCAUCACCCUGCCAAAUUUAAUGUAGGAAAAUGGUGGUGGCUCUGAUCAUUUGGUUUCAUCUAGUGAAUUGCCAUUUUCAUUCUCAUGUAACAGCUGAAGACAUUCGUAUGGAUUUGCAUAGAAGUAAUCUUCUUCUUUCGGUUUAUUCGGAAUCACAAGCCGCUUCUUGGGACCUCCCAUUCUUGUAGCGUGAAAGCUCUUCACCGUGGUGGAAAACACUUCCCAGCUCAACAUUCCUUGGUAGUAUUCAUCUAUUAGAUUAACCAAGAACUUCCUGUUUAGCUCAAUCGUUUUCUUGAACCCCAAGAACCUGUAUGUUGAUUAAGUUCAUUAGCCACUGAUGAAAAGAAACAUUACAUUUUCUUUUUAGCAAUGAUAAUGAUUCACCUGCGAUGACCUUCCACGACUUUAGCCAUGUUUCCAUAAUAAGUAGGAACGAAUAUAUCACUUUCGAGAGAGAUGAGGUAAUCAAGAGCAGCCAUUUGAGAUGAAUGGUUCUGACAGAAACUCAAAUCAGAGGAAUCAAGCAGAGUUUCUUUCCUCACCUGUUUUCAUCAUCAAAGAUCAUCAUCAGUUAGUGACACUAUGAGUGAAUCUUUCAGACAAUAAGCUCUUGUUUUUUUUAGCUACUAACCACAUUGGGAAAGACAUCUGUUAAAGCCUUCAACCUCCUUUUACCACCGUAAAUCUCUCCAGCAGCUAUGUAAAUCUGAACAUUACGGUCAAUGCCUAAGGCAGAUAGUGUAAGAGCUGUUUCUUCAGGAGUCAAUGGACAAAGACCUUCUUUCCUCUUCAACUCUGAGUUUAUUACUUUCUCCUUCCACCAUGGAUAAGCAUAUCUAACCAAUGAAAAACAUAAUGAUAAAUAAACAUCAAUAUCAUAACAAACUUUUAACACUAAAGAUGAAAUGUUUUUGUUUUAACCUCAUUCGAGUGAGCUCUUCCUCUUCGUAGCGGUUGCAACCAUGAGAGCAGCCAGAGAAUGCCAACAUAUCCAUUUCGUAUCUGAGAUGCAGAACCAGAAAGGGACCUUUCUCCCUCAGAAUCUUGACUACUCUUCUACCUAGUUCCUCAAUCUUUGGAGUAAACCUGAUCCCGUUGAAGUUUACUCUGCAUCUCAGCUUCUGAACCUCAACAGGAAGUUCGUUAUUCACAAGUCGAGUAUCGGUCUUGUUCAAAUGUAAGACCUUAUGCUUCUUCACCAAGGGAAGAAUCUGUUUUCAAGAAAAGCUAUGAGAAACCAUUCAAGUAUAAUGGAGAGACUAUGGAGUAACAACCGAGAGAGAAGAACCUGGUCUUGGUAGUAGGACAUGUUGGACCAGCUGAUAGGAGGCAUGGUGUGGUACACACCGAGCUCGACCCUUCUCUUAAGCCUUGGAGGAACCUCUUUGAGUAUACGAACCUCAUCUCUCAAAGAAGUUAUGAAGUGAUCCACGUCGAAUAUGUCUUUGAACUCACUGCUCACAUAAGAACACCCAUCAACAACUUUCAAGAGAAGUAAAAGAAGCUCUGACUGAGUGAGAUGGAUGGGGACUAAUAAUAAUAAUAAUAAUAAUACCUAGGAUCAUUCCAAAAAGAGGUCUUGUCAAGCUCUGGGACAAUAAGUGUGACAUUCAUGUAUCUUGCAAUAGUCACCAUAUCACAUAUCUGAAGAUACAAAAAAAAAAAACAGAAUCCUAAGUCUUAUGGUAAGGAUUAUUUGACAAGGCAAAAAGAUUGGUUAUGAUGUUUUUACCGCAGCUCGCAUUUGGUUGAGUCCUCCAUUGCAAGAAACCAUAAGAUAGCCAUUGUUCUGAUAUAUCCCUAAGUCAAAACAAAGAGCACAAAAAUGAAUUAAAAAAAAUCUAAAAACAUCACAAUACACAAAACUACAUAACUACGCUUACUUUUGGGAGGGAGGGCUAGUUUCAUGGGAAGAGAAGACAUCUCUUGUGCAGCAGCCAUUGGGAAGUCAUGUCCGUGAUUGAAACAAGAAGGCCAACCCUUCAAUAAUCUUGGUCCCCACAUCUCACCCAAAGCAACCAAAUGAACGAAACAACUCCAUAGCAAGAGUAUGGUCAUAGCACGAAUCAUCCAAAGGCUCAUACGAGACCUUGAAACAAGGGAGUUCUUGAACUUGCUGUCUCCUAGAAACUUAACCUUCAUCUCCCAGAGCUUCUUGUGGUAAAUAGACUUCUCUGCUUUACACAUUUCUAUAAUGCACUAUAACUUCCUCACUGGUGGAAUUUCAUCAAACAGAUUCUAAUUCAAAGACUAAUCGGAACUUAUUACACUCUCACUAUGAGCUUACAAGCAAGAACCCAGAUCUCAAUUUCGAUUGUAGAGCUGGAAGCUAGCUCUCCAAGUUACGAGGAAGCUCUGUAAUGGCGAUCUUUGGAGCUGAAAGUAAGUAAGAAGCGAUCAAAAGGUGGAGACUUUUGAGUUGGGUGGAGAGAGAAUGCGACGAGAUUGUUUCUUCGAGCAGAUCCGGUCGGUGAUCACCAAAGAACAGGGAAACUGAAUCGAAGCUCGUCAGACAGAGAGAUUCGGAAGAAAGAAGAAUAAGAAGAAGAUUAGGACAAGAAUGUGCGAAAAGAUGAACACUUUCUCUAUAACAAAUGAACUGUCUUUUUUUUUGUCGGUUGUCUUUUUUUUUUUUUUUGGUUUGUGACCGUUUUGUUAACCUGUUCUGUGAUAGACAGUUGCAUCCAUUGUUAUAUAGCUUCAUCACAAAGAUAUACUCCAUAUACUAUAAAUUAAAAGGAAUAAAAUAAAAUGAAAAAUCUUCAAAUAAUCUUUCUCCUUUUUCUUGCUAAUAAAUUGCAUAGUUUCAAUUAAUUUAAUUAAGUAGAUUAUGUAUAAAACGAUAAAAUGCUAAAAAACAUUUUGAAAAAGGGCUGAUAAAAUACUACAUUGACUUGAUAUUUCUCUUAGAAGUUUUUAUUUUAUAUUGUAAAAUUGGUGCAAGUAAAUUCGGUCAAGCGUGAAUCUUCGUAUGAUGGUUUAGAUGAUGUAGUUAGCUAGAUCCUCAUUAAACAUAUAGUAUUGUCGGUUGUCGAAUCGUCUAUGUAAUUUUUCUCGUAAUUGUAAUAUAAUAAUAAAUCAGUAUUAAAAAAAUUAAGUCAUCAGAAACUUCAUGUUAUGCUAACACGUAAAAUGUUACUCGAUGUUUAUGUGGUAAAAUUUUUUUUUGUAAAAUUUGUUUCUCCUCUAAUUGUAAUUUUGCAUGAAUACAUGGAAAAACAAAUGAAUAGAUUUUAAUAACCAGUCUAGUAAUUUCAACCAUGCUACGAUCUUUUACCAAAAAAAAAAAAAACCAUGCUACGAUGUUAAUUCAACUUUACGUGAAUACACUGAUACGUAAGUGUAUGCCGUAAUAAAACGGUAUCUCUUAAUUUUAAAAGUAAAUAGCCAAUAACGAUGUUACGUACCAACCUUUCUGGUUCUUACAUACAAGUUACAUAUGGUUGAAACGAGUCAACCUUUGAAGUUUGUUUGGCCAAAUCAUUAAUCAAUUAUAUUUUAAUCACCAAAUUCAUUAUUUGUAUUUAUUAGGGUCCAGUAACAGACUUUCUAAACCACAUCAUCAGGUCUUUUUGUCUCCACCCAACUCCUUCAUUAACUAAAAUCAAUGUAGUAGUUGUAGUUCUAAAACUCAACUAAUAUUUGGUACACGUAAAACAGAAAAAAAACUAUUAGAUUCAAUAAUGAAAGUUUUUUCUGUUCAUUAAUUUAUCUUGAUUAGAUACAAGUUUUUUUUUCGAAAUAAGAGAACCAUAAGAAACCAAAUGUGGUGGUCGUCACUCAUUAGUCAUAAGUGAUAAUAUGUUUUUAAUUGAAUAACCUUUAGUACAAAGUAUCACUAUGUUAUGUAAAAACAGUAUAUAUACUGUAUAUAUAUAACAUAGUGAUACUUUGUACUAAAGGUUAUUCAAUUAAAAACACAUUAUCACUUAUGACUUGUAGAAAGCAGUAGAAAAUGAACAUACGUUUUAGAAACUUUUAUGAAUAGAUAUAGGAGAGGAGAUAGAUGGUGCAAAAUUGAUGCUGAAGGUACGGUUCCAGUGUGGUAUCGGAACUGCAGGCUACAAUAGUGCCAUAUUCUUCCAGGUUUUGUCAGAACGAUAAUGAAUAAUCAUGAAAGUAAUUUCACCUUGUUUCAGAUGCUAAGUCUUACUGGAAUAUAUAUACAUAACCGGUUUGCCUCACUGGACUCAGGGUUAUCAACUUAUGUUUUAGAUGCUGGGUCUCUGCAAAAUGUGAAUAUGAUCACACUCAUGCAUAUAUAUGUGGAUACCAAAUAGUUAUACUUCACGUGACUAUACUUUACAGUAUAUGUUUUAGCAGACUUCCUAUUGUGGAAAAACAAGAAAUAGAAACAUCAAGUAAAUUUAAAACAUACUAGUUUAUAUGAGAAUUGAGAAACUUCGCCAAUAAUAGAUAAAGGACAAAGGCCCGUGACCAGGAGAGUUGCUUGCUUUGUUUUUAUUUUACUAUUUUCUAAGUUACAAUUAUAUAAACGUCACAUGAGUGCACACACAUAUAUAUAUACAGACAUUUCCCCUAUAUAAUAUCUCAAUAUACUUUUUUUGUUAGUGAAAAAAGAAUAUGCCGAAUAUAAAUAUUAAUUUAAUUUUUUUCUUAAAUACAUAAAGUACAAAUUAAUUUUAAUUUUGAUGUUGUCGACUGACAAUGAUUUUGUCUUCGUGAGUGAUAACAAAUUUAUGAUGGAUUAGUUUGUGGUUAGAGGUAUAGCAAAGGCUUUUAAUAUGAAAGACACUCGCCAAUGAAACUGAUAUUUGAGGUCUCAUCAUAUAUAGUAUUGCGAUGCAUGAAAGGUUCUAUUACUUGAAUGAAUUUAAGUGUUGAUUCCAAAAAUUAUGAUCACCGCACCGAAAAUUAAGAAACUAAAUAAAUGCAAGCCAUUUUCUGUUGUGUUUGUGAUUGACCAACUAUUUUGUGUGGUAACAGUUUGUGUUUGACCAUUUAAAAUUUGGAGAAAGGAAGAAAAUACUAUAAUAAAUUUUAUUGUUGGGGAUGCUAAUCUAUUAAAUAAAGGAAAAGCAAUUCUCAAAUAAUAUAGGUAGAAAAAGGACAUUACCAAUUAAUAUCCCCACGAGCAUAAAGAAAGUUGCGUCGGUGCCUCUAUGCCUUAAUCAUGACGUGCCAUUCUCUGUAAAGUUGCCUCUUAUGGGCAUGAGGAUUUUAUUUUGCUUUGGGCGUCAGUUGAUGACGGGCCGGGCCUGAUUAGGUACUUUGCUUUUUUUUCUUUUUGUCAAACCUCAAAAGGGCAUCAAAGACCCAAUUUUUUAAAAAAGUUUUAAAAUUGCUUAGAUUGCAACACAUGUUUCAGAAAAAAAAAAGGGGGGUGAUAAUGUCACAAGAAGAUUCCACCACCCUGUCCUUUGUUCCAGUGCAUCGACCAAUCACUAGGUCAGUAACUUCAUUGCCUCUUCUCGACUCUUCUUUUGCUUUGGAGAUUUUAAUUCUUGAUUUACCUGAAUGAUCGGAUAUUUGGAACCAAGGAGUUCUUUGAGCUUGUGGAGGGUAAAAUCCCUGUGAAAUGUCAAUCUGAAGACUCCUUUUUAGAGAUUCAAUGUUUCCCACCUCUUGGGAGAUCAAUUUACAUAUAGUUGUCAGACAACCCCACACAGUUAAAGUAUAGAAGUGCAUCUUUUGUUUGUGUCUCGAUCAUUUUAAAAGAGCAGUUCAAAAUAUUCUUCGCUGCUUUCACCAGCUGCAAGCCUAUCAGCAAAUUGAUCAGCAUGUAGCGCCUAGGCUUCGUAAUAGAUUGAGAACAUGCACUCCUAUCUCUGGGUUACUUUUGGCUAACACCUCUAACUGACUGAGAGGCUUUGUAUUUUUUUCAUUAUUUACUUUCAAAAAAUCAGGAAAAUAUUCACGAGGUGUUAUUGGUUUAUAUAUUUUUAUCGAUUUAGAAAUUCAUAUAGUAUUUAUAAAUCCAACUAUAAUAUACAAAUUUUUAAAUUUUUUCGAAUUAGUAUUUAUAAAUCCGGAGGUUUUCCUUCGGAUUUGGGCCUUUGUAUUUUUCACAAAGAAAUCCAUGCAAAUCCAUUCAAAUACAUUAUAAAAUCAAAUCUAUUAGUAAAUCCGUAUGAUUGAAUAACACUUGAUUUGAAUUAGAAUUUAUGAAUCAUUAAACGAAUAACACUUGAUUUGAAUUAAAAUUUAUAAAUCAUUCAACGAAUAACACAUGAUUUCGAUACAUAUUUUAAAAUCAUAAAACUAAUAACACUAGAUUUAGUUUGGAUUUUCGAAUCCAUCAAAAUACGCCAACCAAUAACCCAAAAAAAACUCGCAUUAGAUAUUUGAUUCCAGAUUAAUACUAAAACCUUACAAAAUUACAAAGCAUUACCUAUAACCCUAAAAGCAAGCUUUGUUCGUGUCUUCUCUUUUCAUCGUCUCAUCUCAUCUCAGCUCCCUUUUGCAAUCGUGUUCCGGUGAUUGAAGAAUAUUCGCUUGCGGCGGCGAUGGGAGAAAAGCAGAGAAAGCUGCUCGUGCUGUACGCUUCUCAGACCGGAAACGCUCUCGAUGCGGCAGAGCGUAUUGGCCGCGAAGCUGAACGCCGAGGCUGCCCUGCCUCUAUCGCCUCCACCGACGAAUUCGACCCUGUAUGUGAGAGAUGUUGUUGUGAAUUGAAUAUAGCUUCUUACUCUGUUCUGAAGAUUGUUUGCUUACUAUGAAGAGGAAACCGUUACAAUUCCUCUGUUUGAUUGUAAUCAGCUCUUAGAUUUGAGUGGUUCUGUUGAUUAAAUUUCGAGUAAAUAUAGAAAAGUGUGUUCCUUUAUAACUUAAAAUUCUUAUUUAAAGUUGCCUCUUUUUUUUAUUUGCUGCAGAGUUGCUUACCUCAUGAGGAGUCUGUUGUUUUUGUUGUAUCCACUACAGGGCAAGGAGACUCUCCUGAUUCUUUUAAGGUUCGUUGUCAAGUUUUCACUACCAAUAAUGCAGUUUUUAGUUUAUUGUCUACCUUAUUGUUUGUUCCUUGUAUUGUCUUUUUUCUUUUAAAUCACUGAAGGAGUUUUGGAGGUUUCUUCUUCAAAGAAACUUGGGAAACUCUUGGUUGCAACGACUUCGCUUUGCAGUGUUUGGGCUAGGUGAUUCUGGUUACCAGAAGUAUAAUGUAAGUGCAUCUGCCACUUUAUAUAAAUCCGUUUCACAUUCUUCUCAGCAUACAUUUUAUUUCUGGUUCUGUUUUGUUGUAUUAUUUUUCCCCUGCCACAAAUUUUCAUGACACGACAUUAUUUUCCUCUGAUGGCUUUAGUUUGUAGCAAAGAAGCUAGACAAAAGGUUACUAGAUCUUGGGGCCACAACCAUCGUUGAGAAAGGUCUGGGAGAUGAUCAACACCCAUCAGGGUAUGGAACUGUAUAUUAUUUAGGAAAAUAAUUAUAUCUUCUCUUUUAUUAUUCUUGAUAGCAAAUGAACCAUUUUUGAUCAGUCGAAAAUAUAAUCUCCACGUUCUUGAUGUUGCUUGUUUAGUACUAUAAUGUCAACUGUCAAGUGAUUGAAUACUAAAUUUUCACUUUUUGUGUUCUCUUUAAUUUUCAGGUAUGAAGCAACUCUUGAUCCGUGGAUGCUGUCUUUGUGGAGUAUGUUAUAUAAGAUCAAUCCCAAAUACUUUCCUAAAGGUCCAGAUGUGAUGAUUCCUCAUGAUGAAUUAACUGAUCAGCCCAAAUAUAGGAUUUUAUAUCAUAAGCAGGAGACACUGGAGUCUGAAUUGAUGGCAGAGUCAGGUAGGUAUACCAAAGUUUUACCCCCAUCAUGUUUUUAAGAAAAUAGUGUGGAUACUUUGCUCCAUCAUGUUAGCUUAGGACUAUGUUAUGCUACUUAACAGUGAACUUUCUGUCUAGUUAAUAAUGGUAAUUGCUAGAAAUGACUUUUAAUGUUCUGGUUCAGUUGGCUCGUGAAAAGAAAUUUCUCUUGCAUAAUAUGCCUCUUAUGUUUUAGCAGACAUGAUAGAAAGAGCCCGUGGAAUGUCACCCGGAAAAUUAUCCAAGGACAAAACUAAACCAGACUGCUUUCUCAAGAUGGUACUAUGCACAUCCAUUAUAAUUUCUUUUGAUUUAUGUUAUAUAUGCUAUGCAACCUCGCUAGUUAUGCUAUUUCUAUGCUGUGUUACCUUGAAUCUGGUGGAUUUGAUGUUGCUUCUUGGUCAAUAUGUUUUCUUUAAAUAUCUUAUUUUCUGGUAAGCCUGGAUGAUAUGAAUUAUAUUCCCAAUCAUGCAGACUAAAAAUGAAGUCUUGACGAAAGCUGGAAGUACAAAGGAUGUCCGCCACUUCGAGUUCCAAUUUGUUUCUUCUGUAAGUAACUUUGCUAUCACUUACUAAGUAGUUUCAAUCCAUUUCUCCUCUUUUAUGAAGUGGUUGUUCAAUUAAUUUCUCCUCUUUAUUUUUUUUAAUUCAUUUAAGAGUAUCAAAUAUGAAGUGGGCGAUGUUGUUGAGCUUCUUCCAAGCCAAGAUUCUUCAGCAAUAGAUGCGUUUAUAAAACGCUGUCAUUUGGACCCGGAAUCAUUCAUCACAGUAAGUAGCUCCACUCUGUUGACAUAAUGAUCCCAGAUUGUCUAACUGAAGUAAAUUUUGAGAACUAAUUUACUUUCAGGUUUGUCCGAGAGAGACAGAGAAUAAUGGUUCAUGUGGAGAAGUAAUUACACAUGUCCCUAUUAAGCUUAAGACUUUUGUUGAAUUAACAAUGGACGUUACAUCUGCUUCACCUCGACGAUACUUCUUCGAGGUAAGAGCCCUUGAAUAUCAAAAAUUUUAAUGUCAUUUUCAUUGAGUUUAUGUGUCAAACAAAUGUUUGCUGGAAGUCGUUACAAUGUAUCAUCUCUGUGUCAGGUUAUGAGCUUCUAUACAACAGAUGAACGUGAGAAGGAAAGACUGCAAUACUUUGCCUCAGCCGAGGGACGUGAUGACCUCUACAAUUACAAUCAGAAGGAAAGAAAAAGCGUCCUUGAGGUAACCAAUUAGGGACGUCUUGAACAUGCAUCGACUCUUUAACCAAAUAGAUCUUAUUGCUACUGCCUAUGUAGGUGCUAGUGGAUUUCCCUUCCGUGCAGAUGCCUUUUGAGUGGCUGGUUCAGUUAGUACCAUCGCUAAAACCAAGAGCUUUUUCGAUAUCUUCAUCUCCUUUGGCCCAUCCUGCUCAAGUACAUUUGACCGUAAGCGUAGUAUCAUGGACCCGUUAUAAGAGAACUCUAAAAGGUCUAUGCUCCACUUGGCUUGCAAGCCUCACACCUGAACAAGGUUAGAACUUUGCUUCUUUUUUACCAUUAAGUUCUUUGUAUCUAUGUUAUUAUCUCUUUACAUUUUGUGUUCCGUCGUGUUUAGAGAUAAACAUACCGGUUUGGUUUGGCAAAGGCUCUCUUCCUGCUCCACCACAGUCGCUUCCACUCAUCUUAGUGGGACCCGGAACCGGGUGUGCCCCUUUCCGUGGGUUCAUAGCUGAGAGGGCCGUGCAAGCUGAGACUAGCCCCAUCGCACCAGUCAUGUUCUUCUUUGGUUGCAGAAACAAAGACACAGACUUUCUAUACCGAGACUUCUGGGAGUCUCACGCAAGAGAAGGAGGCAUGCUCUCUGAAGUGAAAGGCGGAGGGUUUUACACAGCAUUCUCUAGAGACCAGCCAAAGAAGGUUUACGUGCAACACAAGAUCCGAGAGAUGAGGAAGAAAGUUUGGGAUUUGCUAUGUGAUGGAGCCGCCCUUUACGUGGCGGGCUCGUCCACGAAAAUGCCUUGUGAUGUAAUGUCGGCCUUGGAGGAGAUUGUGAUGGAGGAGACCGGAGGAUCAAAGGAAAUGGCUUCACGGUGGCUCAAGGCUUUGGAGAAAGCUGGGAGAUACAAUGUUGAAGCUUGGUCUUAAACCCAACUUCCUCCAUAUCAUGUAAUGUUUGAUUACUAGCUACACGAAUCAUUGGGUUAUUAUUUAUUUAAAUUGGUUUAAAUAUUCACAUUGAAUGGUUCAAAAUGAAGAUGAUUUGUUUGAUUUUAUACAUUUAGAACUCUAUGAAUAAUUUAAUUUUAAUUUUUUUUAUAUAGUGAGGGUUCUUACCUUUUUCAUUUUAAAACUAGAGUUUGUUUGAAUAAAUCAUUCACUUCACUGAAUAAUACAAGAUUUCAGUAUUUAUAUUAAAAACAUUAAUUAAAUAACAUUAGAUUUUAAACACAAUUGAAAAUCAAUGUAAAAUGUCAAUUACUCAAAUUUUGUAUUUAUUGAUUUAUUGUAUAAGAGCACACUUUAGUUAUUUCUCAAAUACUCGAAUAUUAUGCGAGUAUAUUCAUUCUUCAAUUAAUUAUUGAGUGGCAAAAUUAAAAAUGAAAUAAUCAAUUGUUACAAAAUGGACAGAAACUAGGGGUGUCAAAAUGGGUCAAAUGGGUCAACCCAACCCAUAAUCCAAAUGGGUUGACUGUUAAUGGAUCAUGGGUCAACCCAACCCAUUUAAAAUGGGUUAUAUGGGUUAAUGGUUGACCCAUCAACCCAUAAUGAAUCACUUUUAAGUUAAAAUCACGUUUGCUAUAACUCAAUAAGUAAGCAGAGAUCAAGUACUAAGAACUUCUUUUAUCAGAACCAGUCACAAAAUAUACUACCGAGAAUCUGAAAGCAUCAACGAAAUCAUCUAAACAAGUACCAUAAAACAACAAGAAAGCAGUUUCUGGAACAUAUUUUUCCAUACACAAGGGAAUAUAAGUUUGGUUCUGCGCCAUUAGACGUUCCUAGUUUGUACCUGAAAGAACAACACACAACACCAUUAGACGUUCCUACUUUUCGAACAUAACUAAUACACACAACACGAUUUUAGUUAUGGAUAUGAUUUGUAACUUAGUAAUUUUCUUGGAAAUGAUAAUAACUACAGGCUACAUCAAGCUGCACCAUAACUACAACACAAUACACAUAACUAAAACGAGUUAUAGCUACAUCAAGCUGCACCAUAACUAACAGAUCUGCAAGGAAGAAAAAUAACAUGGCCUUGCAGAGUUAUACAACUAGACCAGAUAAAAGCAAAUCACAGACCAAACUGACACCAAAUCACAGACCAAACUGACACUUAAAAGACUCUCAAAACACUUAAGAAACAGAGAAGCAAAGUUGUUAUUAUUAUGUUGAUGUGAGGGAUGAGACCACUACCAGCUAUAGUUCCAUGGUCUUGGUUUGGAAUUGUUAGUGCUUUACUUGGAGCCUCUCGGAUAAUGACUAUCUCAUCUUCAUCUACAAUUCAUAAGAAACAGAAUAUUAAUAGAUAUAUGAACUUAAUUGAGCAAAGAUUAUAAAGUUUAUAUAAGAUUGUACCUUCACCAUCAACUUUAUAGCCAUGAAUCCAAGACCGAGUACACAAUAAAGCUUGCACAUUUUUAGGGAUAAGGCGAGUUCUGUACUUGCUUAUUACGUGAGCUCCAAUGCUGAAAGAAGAUUCAGAAGCCACAGUGGUAAUAGGAAUACUGAGAAUGUCCAUUGCCAUGUAUGCUAGUGCGCCAAAACAGUGUCUGUUCUCUUUCCAAUAUCGCAACACAUUCAAAUCAGGAUGAGCUCUCAUUUCUAGUUUUGGUUCCUCUAAAUAUAUAUCCAACGCUGACGUUCCUGGUUCCGCAGUCUCUGGAAUAUCAUCUAACUCAAACAAAUCCUAUUCGCAGUAAACACAAUAAAAAGUUUAGAAUGAAUAUUAGAAAAAGUUUCAAAUGAGUUAGAUAGAUAAACAUCAAAAACUUACAUCCAACACACCAAAGUUCUCGGUCUCUGUUCCUUGCUCAUAAGCACGAGAAUAUGGUCUUGUAAAGCUCACAACAGGAGUCAAAGAGAGUUGUCUUCUAUAAUCAUCAAAGAUCUUCCUAAGCUGAUCCUCAAGAUGAUCAACUUUUUCUUGGGAGGUGAAUGGAUCAAGCUCACCAUAACAACGCUACAAAUUUGAAGUAGAGUAACUUCUGCCAGACAUUAGAGUCGUAAUGCUAUAAAAGGGCUUCAAGAGCUCAAAGAUAAUGCUAGCUCUUCUCCAUUCUUCAUUGGAAGGGCAAUGCUUGUAGUGUUUAUCACCUAAUUUAUACCUCUUUAAAGCACGUUGAUACUUCAAAGCCUUCUUCAGCAUUAGAUAGGUCGAAUUCCACCUAUUCUUGACAUCUAUUGACAGCGCGACAUCCUCAACACCAUCUAUACAGUCUGCAAGUGCAAUCCUUCUAGAUAAUGAACCUUUAAAAUACUUCGCUGUUUCUCUGAUCUUACACAAAGCAGGACUAAUAACUUCCAAACCAGCUUGUACAAUCAGGUUCAAGAUGUGUGCAGAACACCGGACAUGAAAAAAAUCUCCUUUGCACACCAAAUUAUCAUCUAGAUUAAGCCGAUCCCUCAAUACGUCUUGCAUGUUGUCAUUAGCCGUGGCAUUAUCCAGAGUCAAAGUGAACACCUUUCUCUCUAUUCCCCACUCUAUCAAACAUUCGUGGACUUUACUAGCUAAGACUUCACCACUAUGGGGAGGAAAAACUUCACAAAACGAUAAGAUCUUGCUAUGUAGCACCCACUUUGCAUCAACAUAAUGUGCCGUGACAGCUAUGUAUCCAUCUCCAGCUAGUGAAGUCCAACAAUCUGAGGUCAAGCAUAUCCUACUAGGAAUUUUUUCCAACUCAGACUUCAAAAUCUGUUUUUCUUUCUCCCAAGUUUUCAUAACAUCACUAGCAGCAGUGUUCCUAGAGUAACACUUGUAAUCUGGAUUUAAAUAGCUAAAAUAGUCCCUCACCUCUUCAUAUUCAACCGAAAUGAAAGGAAGAUUAUGUCUAAUAAUGACUCGACUGUACUUCUCCCUAGCAACUCUCUCAUCAAAAUUCACUACCCUUCUUUCAGCCUCCAAAAUUCCUAAGCAUUUAUGUCUAUGACGCUUCAGAUUUGAGGUUCCACUAGUUGAUGUAUACGCAUAGCUCUUUGAGCAUUUCAGACAAUAUGCUCUCUCUUCCUCAUUCUCAUCCUUUUCUACUUUAAAAUAUUGCCACAUAUUCGAUGUUUUUCUUCUCUUAGCAGUAUUAGAAGAUGUACCUGUUGAUUCGCGAUAUUCUUCUUCAUUUGCCAUAUCCAAGAUCACUGCCAACAGAACGUGCCUCCUGAAAAGAAAGACAAAUCGUUUAAGUGACAAUUAAACAAAAGAGAAUCACUGAUCAAGCAAACACCAAGCAAGAGAAAAAACUCUGCUUAGUUUUCUACAUUCCCAAAAUCAGACAUACAGACGAAACCAAAAUUGGAUUGGGAUGUGAUGUAGUAAUUGUGGAGGAGAUAAAGAACCAUUAACAAGGAAAUCCAACAGAAACCCAAGUGAAUCUAUAGAUCAAACCCAAGCAAAAGCGAACACAUACAAGCUCGAGCGAGAGAGACGGCGUGAGAGAGACGGCAAGAGAGAGACGGCAAGAGAGAGAGACGGCGUGAGAGAGACGGCGUGAGAGAGACGGCAAGAGAGAGAGACGACGAGAGAGAGAGACGGCGGGAGAUAGAGACAGCGAGAUGAGAGACGGCGAGAGAGAGAGAGAGACGGCGAGAGAGAGAGACUGCGGGAGAUAGAGACAGCGAGAUGAGAGACGGCGAGAGAGAGAGAGACGGCGAGAUGAGAGCUUCAAGCUCCUUUCAUGGUGAGAUGAGAGAUCGCGAAAGAGAGAGAUGGCGAGAGAGAGAGAUACGUGAGUUUUUUUUUUUUUGGGUUUUCUUAAUUAAAAAUUAAAUGGGUCAGAAUUGACCCAAUCCAAUAAACCUAUUUAACCUGUUAACCCAUUAAUUUGUUAACCCAUUAACUUAUUAACCCAUUAACCUAUUAAUCCAUUAACCCAGUGGAUCAAAAAUAAACAGUUCAUUUGGGUUAAUGGGUCAAUUUAUGUUGGGUCAAUCUAUGGGUCAUGACCCAUUUUGACACCCCUAACAGAAACUACCAUUUUUAUGUUUGUUUAAUUUUGUGCAGUUAAGUGUUAGUUGAUAAUAAUUUUACGCAAACAAUACUUUAAGUAUUAAAGCUGCUGGUUUCAAAUACAUUGGUAAUAAAAUGUUAAUGUCUUAAAGUAAAAGGGUGUGACUGGGGUUUUAAUAAUAUUGAGAGUUUAUAUCUACACUAUAAAUUAGUAAUUGUUUAUUAAACCAAUGAUUAAUGACAUUAACGUGUCUUCUUCACAAAAAUGUCUUGAGAUCUCUAUCCAUCACAUCACUCUCCAGAGGCUAAUUCACACUCUAUCGUGGGAAAGCAAGAACCUCAUCCCCAUCUGAAUUAUUUUUUUUUAAACUGACUUGUAAAAGGUGAAGCUAAAUGGCGGUGGCCUUCCGUGGAGGCCGGAACGGCGUCGGAUCAGGACUCCGCAGUUUCUUCUCGUACAGGAUCUUCAUCUCCGCCUUGUUCUCUUUUCUCUUCCUCGCCACCUUCUCCGUCGUCCUCAACUCCUCUCGUCACCAACCUCACCUGGAUCACGUAAGUUUUUCCCAAUCCGAAUCAAAAUUUAGAAAUGAAUUUAGAAUCUGAGCUUCGAUUUUUGGUGUUUAGACAUUGCCGAGGACGUUUCAAUCGGAUCCGUUGAAAACGAGGUUAGAUCUGAUCCACAAGCAAGCCACCGAUCACCUCACGCUUGUGAACGCCUACGCUGCUUACGCUAGGAAGCUCAAGCUCGACGCGUCGAAGCAGCUGAAGCUCUUCGAAGAUCUGGCGGUUAACUUCUCCGAUCUGCAGGCCAAACCUGGAUUGAAGCUCGAAAACGGGAACGCGAUCGAGGAGGAUGCGUUUCGGCAGAUCGAGAAAGAGGUUAAAGAUAAGGUGAAGACGGCGAGGAUGAUGAUCGUUGAGUCUAAAGAGAGUUACGAUACACAGCUCAAGAUCCAGAAGCUCAAGGAUACGAUCUUCGCUGUUCAAGAACAGUUGACGAAAGCUAAGAAAAACGGCGCCGUUGCGAGCUUGAUCUCGGCUAAGUCGGUUCCCAAGAGUCUUAACUGUUUGGCUAUGAGGCUUGUUGGUGAGAGGAUCUCUAACCCUGAGAAGUAUAAGGAUGCUCCGUUUGAUUCGGCUGUUGAGGAUCCGAGUCUUUAUCACUACGCGGUUUUCUCUGAUAAUGUGAUUGCUGUUUCCGUUGUGGUGAGGUCGGUUGUGGUGAACGCUGAGGAGCCGUGGAAGCAUGUGUUUCAUGUGGUGACUGAUAGGAUGAAUCUCGCGGCUAUGAAGGUUUGGUUUAAGAUGCGUCCUUUGGACCGUGGUGCUCGUGUUGAGAUUAAGUCGGUGGAGGAGUUUAAGUUCUUGAACUCUUCGUAUGCGCCGGUCUUGAGGCAGUUAGAGUCUGCUAAGUUGCAGAAGUUUUACUUUGAGAACCAGGCGGAGAACGCGACUAACAUCAAGUUCAAGAACCCGAAGUAUCUCUCGGUGUUGAACCAUCUGAGAUUCUACUUACCGGAGAUGUAUCCGAAGCUGAAUAAGAUCUUGUUCUUGGACGAUGAUGUUGUGGUGCAGAAGGACGUGACUGGCUUGUGGAAGAUUAAUUUAGAUGGGAAGGUGAAUGGAGCUGUUGAGACGUGCUUUGGCUCUUUUCAUCGAUAUGGUCAAUACUUAAACUUCACUCAUCCUCUGAUUAAAGAGAGCUUUAACCCCAAUGCUUGUGCUUGGGCCUUUGGGAUGAAUAUAUUUGAUCUCAAUGCUUGGAGGCGUGAGAAAUGCACUGAUCAAUACCAUUACUGGCAGAACUUGGUAAGUCCGUAUCUUUUCUUUGUAACUUAUGCAUAUCAAAUAAUCUCUUUAUCUUGUGUUGAUUGUGUGUUAAUCUCUCUUGAGCAGAAUGAAGACAGAAGUCUCUGGAAAUUAGGCACUCUGCCUCCGGGACUGAUGACAUUCUAUUCAAAGACGAAAUCACUGGACAAGUCAUGGCAUGUGCUUGGGUUAGGCUACAACCCAGGAGUGAGCAUGGACGAGAUUAAAAAAGCAGCAGUGAUACAUUACAAUGGAAACAUGAAACCAUGGCUCGACAUUGCUAUGAACCAAUACAAGUCUCUCUGGACUAAAUACGUCGACAACGAAAUGGAGUUUGUGCAGAUGUGCAAUUUUGGUCUUUAAAGAAAGAUAUCGAUGAAGAGGUAACCUCAGAAUCGAUAUGUGUUCAGUCAUUCAGGGCAUUCUUUAGCUUAUAUACGUUUAUCUUUUACUAGGGGUUGGGCGGGUAAGUUUACAAUAUAAUUCUUUAUAUUAAAAUAUAUUUUAAUUUUAUAAAACAUUUAAAAAUUAUUUUAAGUAUAAUUUGUUUUCUAAGAUCAUAUUGUAAAUUUCAUUUGUUAAACGUUAAACAAUUGUUAUAAAUUUUUUUCUAAUAUCAUACCUUAUUUGUUAUUUGAGUUUCUAAGAAAAUGUAAAUUGGUAGUGCAUUAGGUUUGCAUUUGGAAUUGAUAUGUGUGAUACUGAUUUUAGUUUUUUUAAAAUGUUGUGUGUCAGGAAGUGUGAUUGCAUGAGGUCAUUUGGAUGAGGAAUUAAAUGUGAUGUGAGUGAGUUUGUAUGCUUCUGAAACUGAUUUAUAGUAUACAAUACCAGUAAAUUUGAUUUGUAUGAACAAUUUGAAUUGGAGAAGAAGUGUUCGGUUAAUAUAUUUCAAAACUUUAUGGGCUUUCAAGGAUUUUUGUGUUGUUGGUCGUUUAAGUUUGGAAUCCACACUCCAUUGAGUAACUGUUUUUUUUUGCGCUUGGGAGCUCGUCAUCGUCUUGCUUGGAGUAUUUAUUUUUGCAAAACAGUUGAGAUUUAUACUUAUAUCAAGUGAUUCGUAAUAAAUUUAUGGUUAAACAUUUGGCCUCACAAUGUCUAUUUUAGUUAUUUCAAUCUCAUAGGAAUGAGUUUAUUUGUUUUAUACAACCAAUUCUCAUAGUUUAAUGUGAGUGAUAUUCAUCCUACAUAAAAGUUGAAUAGGAGUAGUGUGUACUUUGUUUAAUCAUUUAUAAUCAGUUGGUAUAUUUUCUCUUUUUCAUAGUGGGAUGAUUGGUUUAAAGAACUUUAAUGGCAAAAAAGGAACCUUAAUGGCAAUCUGAAUUACGUUGGUUGAAUGAUGAUCUAAGGCAUAGCAAAGUCGGAUUUAGAAAGGUGGUAAAAUCAAGAUUUAGCCAUAGGUCAAUGAAAAUGUUAAACCGAUGGAGGCAUUAGUAGGAAAGCAAUGGUUUGUCAGCUCGAUCAGUUGGUCUAAAUGUUAAAUUAGUAACGCCAAUUAAAACCAAAGAUUCCAAUAGGAAAACUUGAAAAAACUUGUGAAAUGGAAGGUUUUGAACACGAAUGGGUUCAUUUAGUAUAUUGAUAUGUUUGUGAUUUUAAUGUUUUUAUUUGUGUGUUCCUCAGUUAAUUUAUUCUCAAAUGUUUUUAUAUGCUUAUUUGAUGAUAAGUGAUUUUUUUUAUAACAUGAUUACGAUUAAUUUUGUGAUAAGUUAACUAUCACAUUAUGUGUCAUGUUUUACAAUUAUAUUUAUUCAUAUUUUGGUUUCCUAAUAUUAUAAUUAUUAUUUUUAUAGGUAUUUUAACGGCUAAUGACUAAUUUUUUAGUUGUUGAUUUAUAUUUUUAAUAGUAAUUAAAAUUCUAAAUUCUUGUUCUGCUUUAUUUUACUUAACUUUGCUUUCAAUUAAUAUUUAUUUUAUUAAUUGUGUUUUUACAGUCUUAAUAUUGUUUUUUUUUUGGAAUUACCAUUUUCAUUAUAAAUUAAAAGGUUUUGGUUCAGUAUAUUUAUGUAUUAGUAUAGCUUUUUCCGUUUUUAGAUUGAAGAGAAAAAAAAAAUGAAAAUAUUUGAAGUUUAAUAGAAUUUCAAAUUAAAUGUUAUAUAAAUUAUAUAAAUAUUUGAUACACGUCAUUUUAUAUUUAUUAUUUUAGUUUUUAUUUAGAUUUGUAACAAUUUAUGUAACUGGAAUUUUUAUCACAAAUAUACAAUUUAAUUGUCCCAGCAUAUCUUUACAUUUUAAUCAAUAUGUUUAAUUAAUGUUAUUUCAUAUUCGUUUGAUUGUAAUUUCGAUAUUGGUCAUCAUGUUUGUUACGGUUAGUAUAGCACAUCAAAAUUGUGAGAAUCUGAGAACCUGUUUUUUCCCCAAGUUUCAUCUCCCAAUGAAAUUUGUAAGCUUCCACUCUUUGGCUCAACAGCCCCAUAGUAUGGAAUCGAAACCUGUUUGGGCACUUAUACAACCAAUUUGAGCAUGGAAGAGUGUGAUUCUUGUCGUGUCUAAAACUUGUGAGCAGAAGUUGGGUUACGGAACUAAAGACGAUAAGUGAUAAUCGUAGGAAUUUUCUUUAUUGUUAGGAUAAUUUCAAGACAGAGGAGAUGAUUUCAGGGUGCCCAAAUACAAAGUAAAGAUAAUCUUAUUCAAGAGUUGUGUUAUAAAGUCUUGUGUGCCUUCUUUGAUGGGACCCUUUGGCACAGGAAACAGAGCUUCUCCAGCAGUGUUUCCGCUCAAUACAUUAGGUACUCCAGGUGAUGUGUCCGUAUCACUUCGUUCGUCCGCCGGUCGGUUAUGCUUCUGGAGGUGUUCUCGGACCCAUGGAGUCAGAGCCAUUGCAGAAGAUACACGUAGAUACUCUAUUUUUAUGCACCUCCACAAUUAUCAGAACUGGAUGAUCAGUUGACGUCACUCCCACGCAACCUGCAGUUGAGAACGUGUAAGAUUCUUGAGAAAGUGUGUAGGAGGGAAGUGAUACAAACAUCCUGUUGUUCAAGAUUCUUACUCUUGGAAGAAGCUCUAGCCAGAGCCGCUUUCAUUGUUAAAGUAGAAAUGAGUGUCAGAUGUUGUAUUAAGGAAUAGUCGACCUGCAAGCAGAACUAAGUAAGCUCCAUAAGAUGUUCUGAAUCAGAACUUCUGAUGCACAAAGUGAAUGCACAGACUCUGUGAUCUUGACGAUCUGGGUAAGUUAGGUGUAGCGAAUCACAACUGUUGAGUCUGGAAAUCUGAAGUGAUUGUUGAUUCUGUAAGACUAUGUAGCAAAUUUUGAAUAAGCUCGUUGUGGAGUUCAUUCACAGAGUGCUCUCGCUCCUUAGUUGUGGCAGCUUUAGUUUUUGCUUCCUCGAUAUUCGUAGAAGUUUAAAAAAAAAAUGAAAGAAUACAAAAAUAAAUAGUUGAUAAGCUGUAUAGCAGUGAUUUUCAAAAUAGUGUGGGCAUAAAAAUGAAAAUUUGGAUAUAUUAGUCGACACAUACUCUAGUGAAAGACAUUACCUUGUUACAAUAUGCAAUCUCCAACUGUUUAAUGUUUCUGGCCUCUAAGCACACACCAGUUAUCUCCAUUCCAGUACACGGGGAAACAAUGCCUCCUCACCAAGUUCAACAUGUCAGAAACAUAGAUUGGAUAUAAGCACUCUAAAGGUUUAAACAUGUUAACAUUUUAAAACACUGCAGAGAACAAUGGUACCUUAUAUAGACGACUCUAAACAGGUGCACCAGCUAUCUCCUCUUGUAGAAGACGCAAAAUCUUCUGAAAGAGUUUUAAUUGAUUGCUUAUUCGAGUUACUUUUAAGGAAUGGAAGUAAACCUGGUGAUCGGCGGUGGGACUGUCUAGUGGAGAUGAUGCGAACGCCGAUGUUGUCCUAUCGAAUCCGCUGCGCUGAACCAGUUCCUGUUGUUUUAAAUCACAUUAAUCAGACCAAAUAUUAUGCGAGUAUAUUCAUUCUUCAAUUAAUUAUUGAGUGGCAAAAUUAAAAAUGAAAUAAUCAAUUGUUACAAAAUGGACAGAAACUUUAUGUUUGUUUAAUUUUUUUAAAAAUUUUGUGCAGUUAAGUGUUAGUUGAUAAUAAUUUUACGCAAACAAUACUUUUAAGUAUUUAAGCUGCUGGUUUCAAAUACUUUGGUAAUAAAAUGUUAAUGUCCUAAAGUAUAAGGGUGAGACUGGGGUUUUAAUAAUAUUGAGAGUUUAUAUCUACACUAUAAAUUAGUAAUUGUUUAUUAAACCAAUGAUUAAUGACAUUAACGUGUCUUCUUCACAAAAAUGUCUUGAGAUCUCUAUCCAUCACAUCACUCUCCAGAGGCUAAUUCACACUCUAUCGUGGGAAAGCAAGAACCUCAUCCCCAUCUGAAUUAUUUUUUUUUUAAACUGACUUGUAAAAGGUGAAGCUAAAUGGCGGUGGCCUUCCGUGGAGGCCGGAACGGCGUCGGAUCAGGACUCCGCAGUUUCUUCUCGUACAGGAUCUUCAUCUCCGCCUUGUUCUCUUUUCUCUUCCUCGCCACCUUCUCCGUCGUCCUCAACUCCUCUCGUCACCAACCUCACCUGGAUCACGUAAGUUUUUCCCAAUCCGAAUCAAAAUUUAGAAAUGAAUUUAGAAUCUGAGCUUCGAUUUUUGGUGUUUAGACAUUGCCGAGGACGUUUCAAUCGGAUCCGUUGAAAACGAGGUUAGAUCUGAUCCACAAGCAAGCCACCGAUCACCUCACGCUUGUGAACGCCUACGCUGCUUACGCUAGGAAGCUCAAGCUCGACGCGUCGAAGCAGCUGAAGCUCUUCGAAGAUCUGGCGGUUAACUUCUCCGAUCUGCAGGCCAAACCUGGAUUGAAGCUCGAAAACGGGAACGCGAUCGAGGAGGAUGCGUUUCGGCAGAUCGAGAAAGAGGUUAAAGAUAAGGUGAAGACGGCGAGGAUGAUGAUCGUUGAGUCUAAAGAGAGUUACGAUACACAGCUCAAGAUCCAGAAGCUCAAGGAUACGAUCUUCGCUGUUCAAGAACAGUUGACGAAAGCUAAGAAAAACGGCGCCGUUGCGAGCUUGAUCUCGGCUAAGUCGGUUCCCAAGAGUCUUAACUGUUUGGCUAUGAGGCUUGUUGGUGAGAGGAUCUCUAACCCUGAGAAGUAUAAGGAUGCUCCGUUUGAUUCGGCUGUUGAGGAUCCGAGUCUUUAUCACUACGCGGUUUUCUCUGAUAAUGUGAUUGCUGUUUCCGUUGUGGUGAGGUCGGUUGUGGUGAACGCUGAGGAGCCGUGGAAGCAUGUGUUUCAUGUGGUGACUGAUAGGAUGAAUCUCGCGGCUAUGAAGGUUUGGUUUAAGAUGCGUCCUUUGGACCGUGGUGCUCGUGUUGAGAUUAAGUCGGUGGAGGAGUUUAAGUUCUUGAACUCUUCGUAUGCGCCGGUCUUGAGGCAGUUAGAGUCUGCUAAGUUGCAGAAGUUUUACUUUGAGAACCAGGCGGAGAACGCGACUAACAUCAAGUUCAAGAACCCGAAGUAUCUCUCGGUGUUGAACCAUCUGAGAUUCUACUUACCGGAGAUGUAUCCGAAGCUGAAUAAGAUCUUGUUCUUGGACGAUGAUGUUGUGGUGCAGAAGGACGUGACUGGCUUGUGGAAGAUUAAUUUAGAUGGGAAGGUGAAUGGAGCUGUUGAGACGUGCUUUGGCUCUUUUCAUCGAUAUGGUCAAUACUUAAACUUCACUCAUCCUCUGAUUAAAGAGAGCUUUAACCCCAAUGCUUGUGCUUGGGCCUUUGGGAUGAAUAUAUUUGAUCUCAAUGCUUGGAGGCGUGAGAAAUGCACUGAUCAAUACCAUUACUGGCAGAACUUGGUAAGUCCGUAUCUUUUCUUUGUAACUUAUGCAUAUCAAAUAAUCUCUUUAUCUUGUGUUGAUUGUGUGUUAAUCUCUCUUGAGCAGAAUGAAGACAGAAGUCUCUGGAAAUUAGGCACUCUGCCUCCGGGACUGAUGACAUUCUAUUCAAAGACGAAAUCACUGGACAAGUCAUGGCAUGUGCUUGGGUUAGGCUACAACCCAGGAGUGAGCAUGGACGAGAUUAAAAAAGCAGCAGUGAUACAUUACAAUGGAAACAUGAAACCAUGGCUCGACAUUGCUAUGAACCAAUACAAGUCUCUCUGGACUAAAUACGUCGACAACGAAAUGGAGUUUGUGCAGAUGUGCAAUUUUGGUCUUUAAAGAAAGAUAUCGAUGAAGAGGUAACCUCAAAUCGAUAUGUGUUCAGUCAUUCAGGGCAUUCUUUAGCUUAUAUACGUUUAUCUUUUAUAUUAUAUAGGGUUACAAAAGUGUUUUGCUUUGUUCUUUCUGUCAUAGUUAUGUUCUUUAUUUAUAUUUUGUGUAACUCUUUCACAUCAAAAGCUUUAUCCAUAACUACAAUGUGUUAAUGUUUGUUUCAUGCAAAGUUAUGACUUAGGAUUGAAACAUUAAAGAGAAAUGGAUUAGGAAGAUAAAAUAAUUUUUAUCAUAUGUUGAUUUAGUUACAUUUUAUUACUAAAAUCAUGAUGAGCUAACUACUUUACAAAACGCAAUAAGGAUUUUAUCAUAUGUUUGUAUAUCUACAAAAAAGUUAGAAUUCAACAAAGGUGUUAUGACCGUUUCUGACCGCAAGACAGAAACUCAAAGAUCCUGUCUCUAGUCAAUGUACGUCCAAACUGCACAAACCCAUCGCACCUUCCGGUCUCUCUGUCUAGGUCAACGAGCGUUGACUUCAACUUCUUCAGUUCCUCCUCCAUCCCUCCCAUAGCAAACGCCACCGACGACCGUUUAUUAACGGCGAUGUCCACCGUUUGUCUAAUGGAUCUCUCCACCGCCUCCAACCUACUCACAAGUCUGCUCAUCUUCUCAACCUCCUUGAGAGCCACCAUCGUUUCUCUCUCCAUCGACGUCACUGCUGUCUUCUCCCGUUUCAGAGUUUCCGACGACUCUCUCCACCUCGAAGCAGCAAAGUUAGUCACUGCUUCAACCGGAACAGGUACAAAGAUACCCGCCACGAUUUUUCCCACGGCCACUAGAGCAAUCAUCGCCGCCGCAACAACCGCUCUUCCUCCACGUAAACGUCUCAGCUUCUUGUCGAUGUCCUUCAUCGUAGACUCUAGUUUAACAAUCAUCGUACCUAAGUCUCGAUGACAGAUCUCAAGCUUCUUGAGAAACUCCCCGGAGAAAACAUCGUCACCGUGGUUGCUGAACUUACUGAGAUCUUGGAAUGUUUUUCUGAAGCUAGCUUCUAUCAAAUCGCCGUAACCGUUCUUCUCCUCGUGGAAAUCACGCAACGUCUCGUCGAUCAAGAAGCACUCGUCGCGUUCGGCUCUCUCCAAGCACUUACGCAGAGACUCGCAGAGCUCGGUGACUGAUUUGCUAGUGGUGAAAUAAUCGCUGAGAAGACGAAGCAUCUCGGGGUCUUUGCGGAAGUCGGUUUGAUGGCACUCCAUGAACAUCUUCGAGACGUCGUCGUCCAUGUUGUCCAUACAGUCGCUUAGUUUGCUUAGGUUUUCUUCUGAUUGAGAUUUGAUCAUCAUCGAAGAGGAGGAGGGUCGUGGUAGGAACGUCGUCAUCGCAGGGUAAACCGUUGAGAUUCCUUGACGGAGACGUUUACUCGAAAAUAUGGCGCGAAAUUUCAUCUUAUUAGAACACACAAAGAUCACUUAGAAAUUUAUAGAGAUGAACAGAAGUAACAAUAGCAAUUCACAGAGAUGAUUACAGAAAGUAUUAUGAGAUAAGCGCGUACUGUUAGGUUGUGUUAUAUAGAUAAAAGUUAAGAGCUAAAUUUCCUUUUUUUUAAUUUUCGUAAAAGUUUCCAUAUUUCCUUUUUUUCGUAGGUAUUUCCAUUUUUAAUUAAAUAUUUAAUUUGUCAUUUUUAUAAACAUUUAUCGUGUUCAUUGUUUUCUUUUUCGUUUCAGAAUUUCCUUUUUUGCGUUAAGUACAGCUGUAAAAUGAUAAAACGGUAAUUUUUCGUAUUAUUAUUACAUGAUCUAGAAUAAAAUUAUUACACGAAUAAACUAAGGAAGGUUGGUGUAAUAAUUGUCUUUCUUAUUAUUGUUACAGAUCGUAAUUUCGGUUAAGUACAGCACUAGGUUUGUAUUGCAUGUAUCGAUUACGUAUUGGCCAAGUUUGACUCUUUAUCUCAUCACUUGCCCUGUUUUGAUAUGACUUCUUUGUUCUGUCUUUCUUAGAUCUGAGGUUUGUGAGAUGUUUUCUUUUUCUUUUUUCAACUGAGAGAAGACCAAGAAGAAGAAGAAAAGAGGAAGACAAUGGCUGUUGAGAAAGGCUUCCCAACCUCUGUUUACAACGUAACAACUACUAAAGUUGACGAGACCGUUGAAAUCAAUUUUUUUUUUUUUUAUUCUUAUUACAGCUCUACCCCAUAUCUCUUUCUUGUGGUAACAAUCCAGUUAGGCACUGUUCCAGAGGAUAACAUUUCACAUAUGAUAGGAUUUUAAUUUUGUAGAGAGGUGUUUCAUGUUUGCUUAAAACCACUCAAGGUAUAUAUGUGAACACGUCUGAUUAACUCGUAAUAAUAUUACAAAAGUCACAAAACCAAAGGAUCCACACGUGAAACAGUGGUAAUAUAACUACUUGUAAUAAAAUCCAAACUAGAAUUAAUUUACAGCAUGCAAUCUAGUUCAUCUACCUCUGCCGUAAGAGUUCAAAAUGAAGGAACAAUUCCAUAUCCGGCCAUUAGAGAUGUUGAAAAGAGUUGUUCUGCAUCAGCUUCAGUUUCUGUCCUCUUUGCAAAACGUCCCUUGAUCCGUGGUCUUAUUUCUGCAUAUGCCUUUCUUGAAGCAUACCUUAUUGUCUUCUCGAACUUCCUCCUCUUCUUCUUCUCUCUGUAUCUCUGGACCCUAGCCUCCCUGUCCGCUGGAGUUAGCUGCUGCACCAUCUGAGUAGGUGGGCCAAAUAGUUGGUCUAUCGUCUCUUUAUAGUAUUGGACUGUUGUGUCACUCUCUGUUGACUCUGGCACAACAGUGAUGUCCAUUGAUGAAACAGAUACCUAUAAUGACAGAAAACAAAAGACAUUUUCAAUCCUCCAUGGUAAAGAGGACUAAAGAGUUGAUGAGUGGGAAGCACGCUAUCUAAGAAGGCUUACAGUAUGGUUUAGGUCCUUUAAGGAACCAUUGUAGUUGUAGUGACCAUAGUUGUGAUGGCUUUGUUUUUGGUAACUUUUUGGUUCUUCAACUUGAAGUGGUACAACUCCAUCUUCUCCCCCAAAGCUCCUCUGGUAGUGACUGUACUGAUCUUCGAACUGGUUGUCUACGCUGCUGCUGUAGUCCACAAGGUCAAGAUACUCAACACCAAACAAGAACCCAUUGUUGUGAUUAUCACUGUCUUUCUCUGCAUUCAGCAUCAACCAUGAAGCCACCUCUCUAUCAGCCUCAUCGUCUUCUUUACCCGCCACAAAGCCACUCUCGUUGGUCUCUUCUUUCAACAUAAUAAAGACUAAACACUCUGUUAGUGUAAUCACAAAGGAGGGAAGGCUAAUGAGACUGUUAUAUAGAAUACUGGAAGUGAACACUUGGCGCAUAGUUAGUGGUUGGUAAAAGUAGUUGGAUCAUCUUGUGGCUGUCCGAAGUUUGAAGUAAGGAUAUGUAUUAAUGAUGAGAAAGUCUUGUCUUAUAUCAUUGGCAAAGGAGAAGAAAUCUACACCAAGUAUAUAUAUCUUCUCUUCCUUUGUAUAGCUUUCCUUCUUCAUGGGAUUGGGACCACCCUCAUGAGUUGACGUGGAUGAUCAUGUUUACCAAUUUGCUACCGUUUACUUAUUUCAUUACUCAUAAGUGAUUAGAUUACACACUGUUACACCUCUUUUGGUUAAAAGGUAGAGUAAAGAAUUUAGACAUUAUUUUUUUCAAAAAAAAAAAAACUUUGGCAUUAUCCCUUCUUGAAACUCUAUAAAUGUGAAUACUGUGCUAUAACAUUUUUUAAAGAUUACAAUAUUACGGACUUUUACUCUAUCUGUUUAGAAAUUUAUAUAUGUUGAAAACACUAUGUUAUAUUUUUAUAUAUCUAUAUCAACUUCAGCUCACUUCCUGUUUGAAUUUAUUGGUAAAUCAUGCAUAAACUAUAUAUUAUUUGCAAGUGAAGUUUCUUUGGUCAGUUAUUUUGGUUAAAUUUUCAUUAAUAUAUCUAUACUAUAAGUUUUAAAAAUAAAAUAAAAACGAUUUAUUAUCAAUUAUACAAUAUUCAUAGAAUUUUUUUUACGUAAAAUCUUCAAUAAUGUGUAAGUAGAACAAUCAGACAUAAAUGUUUUAAUAAAAUCACUCAGUUUAAUAUAAAUAGAACCAUCAUAUAUAUAAACCUUCAUAAUAAGAAAAUGAGAAAAUGUAACUUGAACAUUUGAAAUGAUUCAUUACGAAGAGGAAAAGCCCAUGGGCCUGCAAAGUUUAUUGCAUUUCAGGUUCAGCGUCGUUUCUUCGUUCGUUCGAUUUUGCCAAAUCCGAAACGAUUCAAAUUCCCUCCGACUCUGAACCUUCUCAGAGACGCUCUUACUCUCAAACACGAUGACUCCGCCACUGCUGAAGCUCGCGCUCGUCAAGGGCCCAAGAGAAGGCGAAUCUUUCGAAUACAAGCCCGGAUCCACUAUCCGGAUCGGCCGAUUCGUUCGUGGCAACGAAAUCGCUAUCAAAGACGCCGGAAUCUCCACCAAACACCUCCGAAUCGUCUCCGAUUCCGAGAACUGGAUAAUCCACGACCUCGGAUCUUCCAACGGCACCACGCUCAACUCUGAAUCUCUCGACGCAGACGCUCCCGCUACUCUCCGCCACGGAGACGAAAUCAAGCUCGGUGAGUAUACUUCCAUCGUAGUGAGCUUCGAGACUGAUGUUGAGGCGGCCGAGGAGGAGAAGGAGGAGGAGCCUAAGCUUCCUCCGAGGCCGAGAAGGAAUACGAGACGACGCAUUCCUGAUCCAGAACCGGAUCCGGUUCAGGAGAAACCAACGCAGCCUGAACCGGCGAAGAGAGGUAGGGCUACGAGAAGUAAAGUAGCGGUUACGAAGGAGGAAGAAGAAGCGGCUGUUGCGGUGGAGAAGAAGGGAAACUCUAGGGCUCGGGGAGGUAAGAAGAAGAACACUGAGGCGGUUUUGGAUUCAAUCAAAUUGGAGAUUGAGGAUACACCGAAGGGAGUGGAGAUCUCAGCGAAGAAGAGAGGGACAAGGAGCAGCAGGCAGGUUGGGGAUGUAAAGAGUGAGGAUACUGGUUUAGAGGAGAUGAGAAGAACUACGAGAAGCAAGAGGAAAGAGAUUGGUGGAGAUGAUUCUUUUCUGGAUUUGGAUAUGGUCCUGAGCCAAGCCCGUGCUAACAAGAAGAAAGUGGAGAAGAAGAGCGUUGUAGGAGAGAUGGAAGCUAGAGAUGAGGAUGUUGAAGAUGAUAAGGAAAAUGAAAAGGAUGUUGAAGCUCAGAAAGGUCGCAGUGAACCUAGUGAUGAAGAAGAUGAUGCACCUAAGAGGGUAGAGCAGGUGGAGACUGAGUCAAGAAAGACCACAUUAGGAGAAGAUGAUGCAUGUAAGAGGGAGGAGCAGGUGGAGAUUGAGUCAAGGAAGACCACAUUAGGAGAAGAGGAUGUUGUAGAAGAUAAGGAAAAUGAAAAGGAGGAUGAUACAAGUGAUAAAGAUGAUGAGACGUCUAAGAAGGUCGAGAUUGAGUUAGGGAAGAGCGCAUUAGGAGAAGAUGGAGAGGCAGAGAACUUACAAGAUGCAGUUGAAGAGAGCGUUGAGGCUGGAGUUGAGACAUCAGAUGGAGAGUGUGAUGAAGAAGAAGAAGAAAAGGCUGAGCAGGAAUCAAGGAAUGAAAAGAAUGUAGAGAAGGUGGAUCUAGAGAAGAUGACACUAGGAGAUUGGUUUGAAUACAUGAAGGUGUACAUGCGGAAAAAAAUAGUGGAUGAGACAGAGGAGAUGAUAGAGGGAAUGAGAGCUAAAUCUCGGAGAGUUCACCAGUAUAUUGCAGAGCAGAAGCAAGCACAGGGCAAAGAAAUGGAUGUGUAGAGUUUAAUUUAGACCAUCCCCUGAGAGAGAACUAUGACGCUAGUCCUUAUGAAGUUAGGUAGCUAACAUCUUUUUUUAAUCGGCUAAACGUUUUUCUUCUGGUAUGUAGUAUGAAGCACAGGGAAAAUAAAAGCCUGUAUCUAAUAUAUAUAACUCGCUUUGGUGGUGCUAAUCUGGAUGAUGAUUUUGUUUGUGCUAGUACUAGUAACCGCAACUAAUAAUGUUGCACCUUCUUUGACAAGCUAUGCCGUAACGCUAUUCAACUUCAAAGCUAAGCUUUGCUUCUUGUUUACUAAUGGCACACCUUUAUUAGCUAACAAUCGUGCUUGAUUCUCUACUCGUUUUAGAAAUGGGAUGUUUACAUUAGUUGUCACGAAGCUUUAGCAAGUUGGCGCCAGAUCAUCAAAAAUAAUAUAUCAAUAAUCAAAUAAAAUUAAAUAAAUAAAGAGGAUUAAUUUAUGAUUCUCAACGGCGUCGUUUCAUGCUUGUUGCACUGUUCUUUUCUCUUCCUUUUGGCUCACAACAUUUUCUCUCCGACCGGAUGAAAACUUCAACGGAUUGGUAUGAGCUCCUGAACGUUGUAGUUUAUCUUCGCUUUUCGUUAUCUUCUUCGAUUCCGUCUCGAAUUUUGAAUUGAUGAUUCUCCUUAUUUCAUCGGAAGCAUCGAGGAUUUGGAGAUUACGAAUUUUUUUGAUCCGAUCAAACGUUGGUGAGUGUUAAUCGUGUUUCCUCUUUCACUGUAGUUUUUUGGUCUUCUUCUUCGUUUAGUAAGUUAGGAGCUGAUAUGUCCUUGGAAUAUUAAUUUUAGUGAAUGUCUUGGAUUUGAGUUUUUUUGGAAUGUUCUAUAACCAUAACAAUCUUUGUUAGGAGCCUCUUCAGAAGAUAAAGUAGAAUGAGUAGAAAAAGAACAGAAAAUGACACUGAGUCAGGAUCAGGAACAGCCACUCCGGUGGAUAGAUUCGGGUUCCUCAAGCAAGAACAUGCCAGCAAGGCUAGAACAACAACGACAGCAUCAUCCACUAACCACGACAGGUAUAUAUAUGUCCUGAGGAUGAAAUUGAGUUAAAGAGUUUCAGAGAGAGAAUGAUAGUGUUGUUGUUCGUUAUAUAGAGAGGAGAGAAAAGUGAGGAAAUGGAGGAAGAUGAUUGGGGUUGGAGGCAGUGACUGGAAGCAUUACGUUAGAAGGAAACCUAACGUUGUCAAGAGGCGUAUACGCAAAGGCAUCCCUGAUUGCUUAAGAGGUCUUGUUUGGCAGUUGAUCUCUGGAAGCCGCGACCUUUUGCUUAUGAAUCCUGGUGUUUAUGAGGUGACUUUCUCUGUUUUAUAUAUCGCUACAUUGUUUGCUCUUAUGAGGAAAUCUUAACUAAAUUUUACUAUGCAGCAAUUGGUGAUUUAUGAGACAUCGGCAUCAGAACUUGAUAUCAUUCGAGACAUAUCACGUACUUUCCCGUCCCAUGUUUUCUUUCAGAAGCGACAUGGGCCUGGACAAAGAUCGUUGUACAAUGUUCUUAAGGCAUACUCAGUUUAUGACAGAGAUGUUGGAUAUGUUCAGGUCUAUCCUCCUCCUAUAUAUAUCACUUGUUACUUGUUUUCUUAUAGUAUGGUAUUAAGAUUCAUGGUUUUGAUAACUUGCAGGGGAUGGGUUUUAUAGCCGGUCUGUUGCUUCUUUAUAUGAGCGAAGAAGAUGCCUUCUGGUUAUUAGUUGCGUUGCUCAAAGGAGCUGUUCAUGCUCCUAUGGAAGGAUUGUACCAUGUAAGUCUUGUAGUGGUUUAGAGGGAAAAAACUUAAGAAUGCCUGAAUUAGAAGUUUGUGAUUCUUUAUGAAAAUUAUCAUUUUUUAUUAUGAAUGGACUAUCCAAUAAUAAAGGAUGUUGUACUGAUCUUACUUCGUUCCUAUCGUGAUUUUGAAAAUAGUUGAUGUCUUAGUGCCAACAUUUCAUCUAUUUUUUAUUAACAGAAAAAAAUUACAUAGGUUAUGGUAUUCGAUAGUCUAAGAGCCAUUGCUUGUGGUGUAAUGUAGGCAGGGCUUCCUCUUGUACAACAAUACCUGUUUCAGUUAGAAAGCUUGGUAAAGGAGCUAAUCCCAAAGCUGGGAGAACAUUUUACUCAAGAGAUGAUCAAUCCGAGUAUGUAUGCAAGUCAGUGGUUCAUCACCGUCUUCUCUUAUUCAUUUCCGUUCCCUUUGGCUCUUCGGAUAUGGGAUGUGUUUCUCUCUGAGGUAAAUUUAAAAAAUUCUCUUUCAGUGAUUUGCUGUAAUCAAAGUCUUAUUCUUUUUAUUUUCUUUGGUCAUUGUUUCUUUAGGGAGUUAAAAUAGUGUUCAAAGUGGGCUUAGCAUUGUUGAAGUAUUGCCAAGAUGAGCUGGUGAGUGAAGUUUUCCUUAUAAGCUGCAAGUUAACAGAGCCUCUCUUUUUUUUCUCUCUAAUUGGAUCUUAUAUUAACUUUGUAGGUAAAAUUACCGUUUGAGAAACUCAUACAUGCUCUGAAAACAUUCCCUGAAGAUGCAAUGAAUCCGGAUACCUUGCUUCCAUUGGCCUACCCCAUUAAGGUUCUCUCCCUCCUUCGAAGAAUGAAAGCUUACUCUAUUAUCUCUGGUUUAAAGAACUCUAGAACUGUUGACAGACAGUGAAUGAAUCAGAUUCGCAACCUGGACAUGAUUAACUUGAUGAACAAUUUAUCUAUAUGUUGUUAAUUAUGUGUGUUAAAUCUCAGAGCUUUCCUGAGUUGAUUAACAACUGUGGUGUUAAAUGAUUUUCUCAUCCUCAGGUAUCAAGACGUUUGGAAGAACUGAAAGUGGAAUAUGAGAAGACUAUUGCCAAACCUGUUCAACCAUAAGAAAACCGGUUUGGCUAAUAAUCUGUUCACAUAUGCUUGGAUUCAAAAUUCUUUACUCCUCCCUUAUCUAUAUCUUAUUGGAAUGUAUUCUUUCUAUCAUCAUAUUGGUCAAGUUGGGUGGGGAAUCUCUUUAUCAGACACCCUCUGAUUCUUCGUAGCAACUUCUGGGAAAGAAGGCAAUAUGUCCCACCUUUGUGUUAGGAGGUAUAGUGACUUGUGCUUGUAAAAUAUUCUCAUUAUUAGUAAUGUGAAAAAGGUAAAUCAUGCUGUUUAAAAUCUUUUGUUAAUAAACAGCAUAUGCUUUGUACAAUUUUUUAAAAAAGAAUUAAUUCUUACUUUUUGAUUAGAAUAAUUACUUGUUGAUCGGACCAACUUUUACAUUACAAAUGAGGACAUGGAGUGAGUCACGGGAGGGUCCUCCUUUAUUGUCGUUUAGCGGAAAGGGCUUCGAGAAUAGAAAAUAGAAUUUGAUUCGCUGGGCCUACGUUACGUGACGGCUCACCUCGAGUUAUCCGCUCAAACGGUGCACGUAUCUCAACACGUGUCGUUAAUUGAUUGGUUGAUAUUUCUCUGGCUUUAGCGUAAUCUAGUAAUAUUGUUAUUCUAAGGCCGAAGAUAAUGUCAAAAAUAGAUGUUCAAAACAAAUCUAGAAUUAAAUAAUUUAGCUAGUGGCAGCUGGAAAAGAUAAUUAAAUACUAUAAAAGUUUAUUUUAUAAAGAUUUGUUGCUUAAUUUAUCUGUGGUCAAGAUUCAAGAACACCGUUUCCACAUAUUAAAAAGGGUUUAUAGGUCAUUUUUGGUAAAAAAACAGCAAAUUGUUAAGAAAAAACAAAACAAAAAUCAACGGUUCAGGAGAGAGCGUUACACAUUUGUAACGCGGAAACCUUUAAUAUAAAGGGUAAAAGCGUAAAAGCAAGUAUUUAGGGCUGGAUGUUACUAUAUAAAAGAGUGUCUCUACGUUGCUUUUCUCUUCACGAACGCUUCUCAUUGGCUCAUCAUUACCAAAUUAUAAUCAUCGUUGUUCUCAAAAUUAGGGUUUUCUCUUCCGAUUAUCUUCUAUCUGGUGAGCUUUCGUAGAUCUCUUACUUGUCAAUUCGUUUUUCGUAGAUCGGAUCGUUGUUAUCUUAACGAAGAAUCCUUCGUUUUGUUUUGACUUUCAGGUUUUGAAGGUUUCGUUUCGUAUCUGGGAAGAAAGGAUUCGUUAAUUCGUGGUCUAGAUCUAAAAUUCAUAUAUAUGUAAGCAUCUCUAACGUCUGACCUUCGAUUUACACAUAUAUGUUUUGUUUUUGUGUGAGAGAUUCAUUCUUGAGCUAUUUGAUAUUCAAUUAUAUGUUAUGAUCGAUCGAAUAACUUUGGUUUUGAUUGUUAUAUACUUAACAAUUCGGUUUAAGCUCCAGCUGUAAUCUUAUUGUUCUAGAUCCAAUGAAACAAUUUAAUCAUGUGUCUCAUCUGAUUAACUGAUGUGCUAGAAUUGAGUUUUAAACGUUUAUUUGAGAUCUGUUGUUGAAUUUUAAAACUUUGAACAUUGGGACUUUGUUGAAUUUAGUACCGUAUGGUUUGAACAUUGAAUAAUCUUCUCUUGGUUUCCUCUUUAGCUAACCGUAUGGUUUGUUUGUUUCUUGUGAAUUGCAGAAGGCGUGAAUGAGAUUAUGAUGGAAUCGAAAGGUGGUAAUAAAAAGUCGUCGUCUAGUAGUUCCUUAUUUUACGAAGCUCCCCUCGGUUACAGCAUUGAAGACGUUCGCCCCAACGGUGGAAUCAAGAAAUUCAAAUCUUCUGUCUACUCCAACGUAUGCUUCCAACCAUAUGAGUCAUGUUUCCUUCGUGACAGUAUCAUGUUUCUUAACAAUGUUUUUCUUCCUUUCUUUUGCAGUGCGCUAAGAGGCCAUCCUGAGUUGUAGCGUGCACCGAGUCCUCCUGCUAUAGUUAUAGCUUUUUUUUAUAAUUUCCAGUUUAUAAUUUACUUUUUUCUUCUAAGCUCUGUUUCUGCUUGGUUCCCCACUCCCAUCGUUCUCUCCUCCUACUACAAUGGCCUUAUCUGCAAUCGGUUUCGAAGGCUACGAGAAGCGCCUCGAGGUCUCUUUCUUCGAGCCUAGCUUCUUCCAAGACUCCAAGGGCCUUGGUCUCCGUGCUCUGACCAGGUCCCAGCUUGACGAGAUUCUCACUCCUGCUGCUUGCGAGAUCGUUUCCUCUCUCUCCAACGAUCACUUGGACUCUUACGUCCUCUCUGAGUCCAGCUUCUUUGUCUACCCUUACAAAGUCAUCAUCAAGACCUGUGGCACCACCAAGCUCCUCCUCUCCAUCCCGCCGCUUCUUAAGCUGGCCGGUGAGCUUUCCCUGAGUGUUAAGUCUGUUAAAUACACUCGCGGCUCCUUCCUCUGCCCUGGAGGCCAGCCUUUUCCUCACAGGAGCUUCUCUGAGGAAGUCUCUGUUCUUGAUGGUCACUUUACUAAGCUGGGUUUGAGCAGCGUUGCCUACUUGAUGGGUAAUGAUGAUGAAAAUAAGAAAUGGCAUGUCUAUGCUGCCUCCUCUGCCCAGACCUCCAGCGACUGCAACAACAAUGUCUACACGCUCGAGAUGUGCAUGACUGGUCUUGACAAGGAGAAAGCCUCUGUCUUCUACAAGAAUGAAACUGGUGGGGAGAAUGGAUCGAUGACCGACAACUCUGGAAUCAGAAAGAUCCUCCCUAAGUCCCAAAUCUGCGACUUUGAGUUCGAGCCCUGUGGCUACUCUAUGAACUCCGUUGAAGGAGAUGCAAUCUCCACUAUCCAUGUGACCCCUGAGGAUGGGUUUAGCUACGCUAGCUUCGAAGCCGUGGGUUAUGACUUCAGCACUCUCGACCUGAGCCAGCUUGUGACAAGGGUUCUGUCUUGCUUUGAGCCAAAGCAAUUCUCUGUGGCCGUGCACUCGAGCGUUGGAUCGAACGCGUACAAGCCGGAGAUCAGUGUGGACUUGGAAGACUAUGGGUGCAGAGAGAGGACAUUUGAGUCUCUUGGGGAAGAGAGUGGGACGGUUAUGUAUCAGACGUUUGAGAAGCUUGGCAAGUACUGU
rnacentral:lncRNA from 1 species